CCUCCGGGAUGCAGCAGUGGGGAAUAUUGGGCAAUGGGCGCAAGCCUGACCCAGCAACGCCGCGUGAAGGAAGAAGGCUUUCGGGUUGUACACUUCUUUUCUCAGGGACGAAGCAAGUGACGGUCCCUGAGGACUAAGCCAUGGCUACCUACGUGCCCGCAGCCGCGGUAAUACGUAGGUGGCAAGCGUUAUCCGGAUUUACUGGGUGUAAAGGGCGUGUAGGCGGGACUGCAAGUCAGAUGUGAAACCCACGGGCUCAACCGGUGGCCUGCAUUUGAAACUGUAGUGCUUGAGUACUGGAGAGGCAGACGGAAUUCCUAGUGUAGCGGUGAAAUGCGUAGAUAUGAGGAGGAACACCAGUGGCGAAGGCGGUCUGCUGGACAGCAACUGACGCUGAGGCGCGAAAGCGUGGGGAGCAAACAGGAUUAGAUACCCCGGUAGUC
rnacentral:rRNA from 1 species